rnacentral:tRNA from 1 species
GGGGGUAUAGCUCAGUGGUAGAGCGCUCCCUUAGCAUGGGAGAGGGCUGGGGUUCAAUUCCCCAUACC